GCGCCUGUAGCUCAGCUGGAUAGAGCGCCGGACUUCGAAUCCGUAGGCCGGGGGUUCGAAUCCCUCCAGGCGCGCCA
rnacentral:tRNA from 2 species